rnacentral:rRNA from 1 species
AUACGGAAGGUCCGGGCGUUAUCCGGAUUUAUUGGGUUUAAAGGGAGCGCAGGCGGAGAUGCAAGCGUGACGUCAAAUUUCGGGGCUCAACCCCGUCUCGCGUCGCGAACUGCGUCCCUUGGUUGCGGGAAGGGGAGGCGGAACGCGUGGUGGAGCGGUGAAAUGCAUAGAUAUCACGAAGAACUCCGAUCGCGAAGGCAGCCUUCCGGCCCGUCAACGACGCUCAUGCUCGAAGGUGCGGGUAUCAAACAGGAUUAGAUCCCCUGGUAGUCCGCACAGUAAACGAUGGACACCCGCGGUUUGGCCUGGAUGGCUGAGCCGCCAAGCGAAAGCGUUAAGUGUCCCACCUGGGGAGUACGCCGGCAACGGUGAAACUCAAAUGAAUUGGCGGGG